CGUACGGGGACAACAUUCCGAAAGGGAUGCUAAUACCGGAUGUGACGCUCCUAUCGCAUGACGGGAGCGUGAAAGAUGGCCUCUACAUGUAAGCUAUCGCUAAAGGAUGGGCCCGCGUCUGAUUAGCUAGUUGGUAGUGUAACGGACAACCAAGGCGAUGAUCAGUAGCCGGUCUGAGAGGAUGAACGGCCACAUUGGGACUGAGACACGGCCCAG
rnacentral:rRNA from 1 species